GAGAGAGGAAGGGUGGUUACCGCCUUAUAAAAAGGUGAGGAAAGUCCCUCCACCAUCUGGACACACGAAUGUCUGAAAGGACAUAAGACGAGAGUCUUGGCUCUGACACAGAAACGACACCACAAUAUGUUAAUGCCGUGAUACUGAAAAGUUGAGUUCGCAUAUUUGUGGAUGAAACGGUGAAUCCUCGUGGGUGCAAGCCAGAAAUGGAUUAUAAAGUCCAGCUCGAUGUAUCCAAGUUUGGCGCUCAGCCGAAUACCACCUAAAAACAGAAGGGGGCUUACUAUCCUCACUC
rnacentral:RNase_P_RNA from 1 species